rnacentral:rRNA from 1 species
UCGAGGAUCUUUGGCAAUGGGCGCAAGCCUGACCAAGCGACGCCGCGUGCGCGAUGAAGGCCUUCGGGUUGUAAAGCGCUGUCGAGGGGGAGGAAGCCGCAAGGUUGACCGAUCCCUGGAGGAAGCACGGGCUAAGUUCGUGCCAGCAGCCGCGGUAAGACGAACCGUGCGAACGUUGUUCGGAAUCACUGGGCUUAAAGGGCGCGUAGGCGGCCGGUCAAGUCCGGGGUGAAAUCUUUCAGCUCAACUGGAAAAGUGCCCCGGAUACUGAUUGGCUCGAGGGAGGUAGGGGUCGAGGGAACUUCCGGUGGAGCGGUGAAAUGCGUAGAGAUCGGAAGGAACGCCGGUGGCGAAAGCGCUCGACUGGACCUCUUCUGACGCUGAGGCGCGAAAGCUAGGGGAGCAAACGGGAUUAGAUACCCCCGUAGUCC